CUCAGAUGAACAGUGAAGGAACUCAGCCGUAUAUAUACAGGACCCCCACACUGGUCUGUGGAUCUGAUCAUCCUCUAGUCCUCUCCCUUUCCAAGAAGAUUCAGCACUGAAAGUCACCAGUCAGCUCAAGACAACUCUGUAUCUUCAAACACUAGAAUGACAAAGGGCACAAGUUAGGCACGGACUGCCAAGAAAUAGAACGCCAGCUCCACUGAGGACUUGUCAUUAUUUAUUUUAAAAGAUUCUUAACCUCUAAAAUGACAUAGAGCCAUUUUCUACUGAUUACAAGGAAUUCUUGCUAUGGAAUAAGACAUUUGUGGGGAUCUUGCAAGCCAAGUAGUAGAUCGUUUAUUAAGUCCAGAUCUUUCACCCAAGAGAGAAGCUGCUACAGUCAUUCCAUUAUUUGGGAAGGAGGAAGCCAGACUCCAGCUCAAAGCUUCCUGUGUCCUUUCAGCUACCCUACAGAAUAACGAUCUAGCCUAAACAACAAAGCCUAGCAAGACUGACAUCCAAAGCAUCUCAGAUCUGGAUACUUCUGUGGGUAUUUGGAAAGAGGGCAGUUCUCCUCUCAGCUCUACCACAGGAAAGAAGACUAGCAUUCUCAGCUAGCCCCUGGGGUGACAGUCAAUAUUCCUAACUCCACCCAACAGAUGGCACAACUUGAUCCCCUAAAAGUCGAAUGAAAAUAAUCGUACUGAUUCCAUUACCCUGCAUGUCAGUAUUGAGAAAAACAGUCAUUCCUUAGUAAGAAGCAAUGCAUCCCUCUACAGGAGAGGAGGGAGAAGAGAAGGGUAAAAUAAAACAAGACCAAACAAACCCACCACCACCAACAAUAAAUUGAGUCAAGGAUAAGUUUGCCUGAAAACCAAAGCUAGCAAAUUUCAGCCUAUCAUAUUGAGAUGUUACUGAAGAUGAUACAGAGAAAUAAAGGCACGUGUUCUGUGAGCUACAAACAUAAGAUGAUAAGGGAUCAUCUAAUUUUGCCCCGCUUAUACAAGGAUUCAUGGGAAGAGAAUCCAGGAGAUCCAAAGAUGCUCCUGGUAGAAGGUCACCUUUAGGGGUGCACACAGCCUCCUGCCCCCAGGGCUGUAGUGUCACUUAGAAGAAACCACUCCUGGACACGUUGUCCCAGCAUCUUUUCUCCAAGCUCCCCUCCAUCCAGGAGCUCCCCCUGGCCCCCAGCGGCUGGAAGAGAAGCCGCCUCUCCUUCCCAAGAGAUCAAUGCAGAGCACUCCCUGGGACAGAAGAAGAUUGUCUGAGAUUUCAAUAGUCACUGCAGAUGCAGGCAGAGAGUCGGGUGGAGGAUGAGCGAGCAGAGGUCCAAGGCGUCUGGACCUUACUG